CCAGUAGAACACUAACAUACCAUAGAUCUAAGAAAAGAAAUAGAGAAGAACCUCAAACAGCUUAGAGUUUCGUAGAAACCCUAGAAAUGAGAAAAUCUAGGAAGAAAAAUCAGAUCUUGGGUUGAAAAGGUCAGGAAUCAUGCCCAUAAUGCUUAAGUAUGCCGGAGCAUGGCGGGAGAGGCCAUAGUACUACAGAUCUGAGAAGAUCUGAAAAGAGAACCAUCGAAGUCAACCUUCAAAAUCUCAAACACCCAAGGUCUAAUGGUGGAGAGGGGUGAGUACAAACCAUUCAUGGCCUGGGAAGCCAUGGAUUCCGGUGAAAACAUGGUGAAAUAAGG
rnacentral:lncRNA from 1 species